rnacentral:rRNA from 1 species
GACAGAGGUGCCAAGCGUUAGGCGGAAUCACUGGGCUUAAAGCGUGUGUAGGCGGACUGGUAAGUACCUUGUGAAAUCCCACGGCUUAACCGUGGAACUGCUUGGUAUACUGCUGGUCUUGAGCCACCUAGGGGCGAGCGGAACAAAUGGUGGAGCGGUGAAAUGCGUAGAGAUCGGAAAGAACACCAACGGCGAAAGCACUCUGCUGGGCCGACACUGACACUGAGAGACGAAAGCUAGGGGAGCGAAUGGG